rnacentral:rRNA from 1 species
CCUACGGGUGGCUGCAGUGGGGAAUAUUGCACAAUGGGCGCAAGCCUGAUGCAGCGACGCCGCGUGAGCGAUGAAGGCCUUCGGGUCGUAAAGCUCUGUCCUAAGGGAAGAAUAAUGACGGUACCUUAGGAGGAAGCCCCGGCUAACUACGUGCCAGCAGCCGCGGUAAUACGUAGGGGGCGAGCGUUAUCCGGAAUCACUGGGCGUAAAGGGUGCGUAGGCGGCCCUGCAAGUCAGGAGUUAAAUCCCUCGGCUCAACCGAGGUCAGCUCUUGAAACUGUAGGGCUUGAGUGCAGGAGAGGAGGGGGGAAUUCUUAGUGUAGGGGGGAAAUGCUUAGAUAUUAGGAGGAACACCAGCGGCGAGGGCGGCUCUGUGGACUGCAAUUGACGCGGGGGCACGAAAGCGGGGGGAGCGAACAGGAUUAGAUACCCGGGUAGUC